rnacentral:rRNA from 1 species
GAUGAACGCUGGCGGCGUGCCUAAUACAUGCAAGUCGAGCGAACAGACGAGGAGCUUGCUCCUUCGACGUUAGCGGCGGACGGGUGAGUAACACAUAGGUAACCUACCUAUAAGACUGGGAUAACUUCGGGAAACCGGAGCUAAUACCGGAUAAUAUUUCGAACCGCAUGGUUCGAUAGUGAAAGAUGGCUUUGCUAUCACUUAUAGAUGGACCUGCGCCGUAUUAGCUAGUUGGUAAGGUAACGGCUUACCAAGGCAACGAUACGUAGCCGACCUGAGAGGGUGAUUGGCCACACUGGAACUGAGACACGGUCCAGACUCCUACGGGAGGCAGCAGUAGGGAAUCUUCCGCAAUGGGCGAAAGCCUGACGGAGCAACGCCGCGUGAGUGAUGAAGGUCUUCGGAUCGUAAAACUCUGUUAUUAGGGAAGAACAAACGUGUAAGUAACUGUGCACGUCUUGACGGUACCUAAUCAGAAAGCCACGGCUAACUACGUG